rnacentral:rRNA from 1 species
CUUGGUCAUUUAGAGGAAGUAAAAGUCGUAACAAGGCUUCCGUAGGUGAACCUGCGGAAGGAUCAUUAUUGAAAUAGCACGACGGGAAGCUGUCGCUGGCCCUAGUGGCCGUGCACGCUUUCUGUCCUUCAUUUCUCCAUCUAUUUGUGCACCUCUUGCGUAGACCCCUCUGUUAGGACUGCUUUGCAAAAUUGAUUGUGGGCUUUCCUUGUUUCUACGUCGUCAUAUACACCAGUGUAACGAUUUGGAAUGAAUGGAAUUUUGAUGCAAUAUACAAAGCACAACUUUCAGCAACGGAUCUCUUGGCUCUCGCAUCGAUGAAGAACGCAGCGAAAUGCGAUAAGUAAUGUGAAUUGCAGAAUUCAGUGAAUCAUCGAAUCUUUGAACGCACCUUGCGCCCCUUGGCAUUCCGAGGGGCACACCCGUUUGAGUGUCGUGAAAUUAUCAAAGCCCCCUUUUCUUUGAAGGAGUUUUGGACUUGGAGGUUCAAUGCUUGCCUUUCACUUUUGAAAGUGAGCUCCUCCCAAAUAAAUUAGUGGGGUCCGCUUUGCUGAUCCUUAACGUGAUAAGAUGUUUCUAUGUUUUGGAUUUGGCACUGUCCCUUGGAUGCCUGCUCCUAACCGUCUCACGGACAAUGAUGGUGCUUCGGUCACUACCAUUUAUAUUGGUGGAAGGCUGGACCCACGAAAAUAAAACCUUGACCUCAAAUCGGGUGAGACUACCCGCUGAACUUAAGCAUAUCAAUAAGCGGAGGA